rnacentral:rRNA from 1 species
CCUACGGGAGGCAGCAGUGAGGAAUAUUGGUCAAUGGACGAGAGUCUGAACCAGCCAAGUAGCGUGAAGGAUGACUGCCCUAUGGGUUGUAAACUUCUUUUAUAUGGGAAUAAAAUGUUCCACGUGUGGGAUUUUGUAUGUACCAUAUGAAUAAGGAUCGGCUAACUCCGUGCCAGCAGCCGCGGUAAUACGGAGGAUCCGAGCGUUAACCGGAUUUAUUGGGUUUAAGGGGAGCGUAGGUGGAUUGUUAGGUCAGUUGUGAAAGUUUGCGGCUCAACCGUAAAAUUGCAGUUGAAACUGGCAGUCUUGAGUACAGUAGAGGUGGGCGGAAUUCGUGGUGUAGCGGUGAAAUGCUUAGAUAUCACGAAGAACUCCGAUUGCGAAGGCAGUUCACUGGACUGCAACUGACACUGAGGCUCGAAAGUGUGGGUAUCAAACAGGAUUAGAUACCCCAGUAGUC